rnacentral:sRNA from 1 species
GGCCUCUUCCCAGCCAGCUUGAAAGGGUUUGCGUAGCCGGCCUUGUGGGCCCUUGAAGCGCUCUGUUAAAGCGCUCUGUGGGCGGCCUGGCCCCAACUCCUCUAGUCUAGGCGCGCGAAGGGAGUUGCUCCUAGGUCUUGUCCGUGCCGGGUUCGCUUUUCUUUCCUUCCCGAAGCCUGGCCCUUAGAUCUACUAUCGCAGAGUCUGCGGCCGCCAGGAAGCCCAGAUUCGAGUGUCCGGAGAGUAACCGGAAGUGCUGUCCCCAGGCCUAGGGGCGGCGCCGGCGGCUGCCAGGAAUGCUAUCUUCUUUGAGAAGUCAAAUUGUCAGGAUCAGGAAUGUAUGUUUUCUUCCAUCUGGAUUCUAGGGUUGGAAAUACCAAGUAAGGAAUUAACAUAUAUGAUGCUGGAAACUUGUAGAGGCUCAUGAUUGAAAGGCCUGAAACAGAUGUAUCUUCCAAGUUCUUAUC